GACGAACGCUGGCGGCGUGCUUAACACAUGCAAGUCGAACGAAGAGCGAUGGACGCUUGCUUCUAUCAAUCUUAGUGGCGAACGGGUGAGUAACGCGUAAUCAACCUGCCCUUCAGAGGGGGACAACAGUUGGAAACGACUGCUAAUACCGCAUACGAUCCAAUCUCGGCAUCGGGACUGGAUGAAAGGUGGCCUCUAUUUAUAAGCUAUCACUGAAGGAGGGGAUUGCGUCUGAUUAGCUAGUUGGAGGGGUAACGGCCCACCAAGGCGAUGAUCAGUAGCCGGUCUGCGAGGAUGAACGGCCACAUUGGGACUGAGACACGGCCCAGACUCCUACGGGAGGCAGCAGUGGGGAAUCUUCCGCAAUGGACGAAAGUCUGACGGAGCAACGCCGCGUGAGUGAUGACGGCCUUCGGGUUGUAAAGCUCUGUUAAUCGGGACGAAUGGUUCUUGUGCGAAUAGUGCGAGGAUUUGACGGUACCGGAAUAGAAAGCCACGGCUAACUACGUG
rnacentral:rRNA from 1 species